rnacentral:tRNA from 1 species
CCGAAAAUGUUGGUUCAAAUCCCUCCUAUACUA